UAUUGGCUUUUGUAAACAAAGUUAAGAUUGGCUUUUGUUUUCUUCUUUUUUUUUGACUUAGGCAUAAAAUUUUUGUAACGCCGCUCCUGGACCCCUCAUCCGGUGCGAAACGGAGGCAUGGACGACAGGGAGACCUCCAAGCAUCAGCAACGCAAGCGCGGCAUCGCCUCGUCCCUCUUUUCCUGGCCGAGUCCAAUCGAUGCAACUCUAAGAAGAACGGACGCAUAUGCUUCUUUCUGUGGAUGAAUAUGAAACUCCUGGCUGAUUUUAAUAUUAUUUUAUUUUCAGGUUUAAGUUUUGUUUGUAUUUUAUUUGCAGGUUUCGAUUGGUUUGUUUGGAAGCUAUCGUAGUUCAAUUGGUUUAUUUGGAGUUUUGCGUUGUAUUUGGUAAGCGAGUCUAUUUCUGUUUUGGCUGAUUUUGAUUGUAUUUUAUUUGCAGGUUUUGAUUGGUUUGUUUGAUGGCUAUCGUAGUAAGUGAAUUGAUUUGUGUUUUGGCUGAUUAUUAAAUGUAUUCUAUUUGCAGGUUCAAUUGAUUUAUUUGGAGGUUUGCGUUGUAUUUGGUAAGCGAGUCUAUUUAUGUUUUGGCUGAUUUUGAUUGUAUUUUAUUUGCAGAUAUUGAUUGGUUCGUUUGGAAGCUAGCGUGGUAAGUAAAUUAAUUUGUGUUUUGACUGAUUUUAAUUGUAUUUUAUUUGCAGGUUCAAUUGGUUUAUUUGGAGGUGUGCGUUGAAAUUGGUAAGCGAGUUUAUUUCUGUUUUGGCUGAUUUUAAUUGUAUUUUAUUUGCAGAUUGUGAUUGGUUUGUUUGGAAGCUAGCGUGGUAAGUAAAUUAAUUUGUGUUUUGACUGAUUUUAAUUGUAUUUUAUUUGCAGGUUCAAUUGGUUUAUUUGGAGGUGUGCGUUGAAUUUGGUAAGCGAGUUUAUUUCUGUUUUGGCUGAUUUUGAUUGUAUUAUAUUUGCAGGUUUUGAUUGGUUUGCUUGAAGGUGAUUUGGUAAGCGGUUUAAUUUAUGUUUUGGCUGCUUUUAAUAAGUUUUAUUUGUAGGUUUAUACUUUCUGGACUUGGUGAUAAUGCGUCAAUCCUCGCCGUAACCAUUGGACCAAGUCUUAACCACUCGGCUGGAGGACGCCUUCCUUUUCAUCCCCUCUGUGGUCUGGCACCAUAAUUUCUUGUAUACCCAAUGGCUGGCCCCUGAUUCCUUCAAGUAUUGUCUCCCUAGUGCAUUUCCCUUGAGCAUACAUUCCUCUGUACAUGUUCAUUUGCAGUUCGCAGAAUCUGUCCGUGUGUUUGUUUUGUUUUUUUUUUUCUUUCUACGGGCUCUUAUUGUCCAUUUUAGCCUUUUCUUCAAUCUCCAAUCCAAAGUUCAGCCAUUUUAUUUUUGAUCCCGCAGGCGUUCAAGAAAGUUGUUUUAAGCCUAUUGGAGUUGGGCAGGUUAGCCCCGGUCGUGUCAAGAGUUUGUGGCGGAAAGCGAUUGGAAUGUGGGAAAUGGCUUGCGUUAUUAUUGUUUGUGUUCAUGUCUGUAAAUUAUUCGGUAGUUUAGUUAGAUGUAAUGUAUAGCAAUGAGUUGUUUUAUUGUUUGUUUUCUAUUUGAUUGAGGAUAUUUGUUGUUUUGUGAUGUUCAGAA